UACGAAGGGGGCUAGCGUUGUUCGGAAUUACUGGGCGUAAAGCGCACGUAGGCGGACUAUUAAGUCAGGGGUGAAAUCCCGGGGCUCAACCCCGGAACUGCCUUUGAUACUGGUAGUCUAGAGUCCGGAAGAGGUGAGUGGAAUUCCGAGUGUAGAGGUGAAAUUCGUAGAUAUUCGGAGGAACACCAGUGGCGAAGGCGGCUCACUGGUCCAUUACUGACGCUGAGGUGCGAAAGCGUGGGGAGCAAACAGG
rnacentral:rRNA from 1 species